CUCACAGCAGUCCUCCUGCUUCAGCCUCCUGAAUGCUGUGAUUAUAGGCAUGCACAUCCAAGCCCAGCUCUAUCUCCAGAAUUUAAAUUUACAACUGCCCAGUGAUCCCAGGAGGUGGAUGGGAGAAAUGGAGACUGCCUUACAAGACUUCUGAAACCUUCCCCAUCACACUGUUUAUAUUCUGAAACCCAGCUAACGCUGCGAUUCUUCAAAUUUCCCUUUGCAUAAGUCAAUGAAGCAUCUGUUGAUCACCAGCCUCGUCUGAGCUGAUAGCCUCUUUCAAGGAUGAGGGCAUAUGAAGAAUGUGCUUAAAGAUCACUUGGUAGAGAGAGAUCCACAUUUUUAUGAAGUUCUUCACAGAACUCCAAUUUAUUCAGAUGUUGAUGACAAACUACCUCUUCUUGGUUCCAUAGUGGGUCAUGAUUUGCUUUACACAAACACAUGCAAUGACAAGUUUGUGGUUAUUGAAAUUCUGGCUCAUCAGAUUUAUGGAAAAGGCUACAUUUCUGGGGUGAGGGAGAGGCUGCCUUCCACUAAAUGUUGGUAAGAAAGUGUAUUCUCCUUGGCUGUUGAGAACCCUUACCAGAGCCCAAGGUCAGUGAGUUUGAGGAUGAAGUCAGUAAUGUGAACAACAGAGCAAAAGGAAAGCAAAAAACAUGUGUCCCUGAUGGUAUCAUUAAGGUACUGAAUCAAUAAUUGAUGACAUCUUCCUUUCUCUUGACUUCCUGUUAUAGCGCUAAUGCUUCCUAAAAGCAUUUUAAACUGGAGUUUCUGUUAGUUACCGUUGAGGGCAUCCAGUUAUUAAUUAAAUAAAACUUUGUUAUAUUGUUUUGCAGUACUUUCCCCUGGGAACUUAUUGCUAUAUAGGAAUAUAUUUGUGGAGUACACUGUUGUUUAUACUGUAGAGGAUAAUAUUAGUUUUCUAUGCAAAGAUAACUUUGUUUUAGUAACUGAUAUUGUUUUUGCAAACCUACUGACAUCUUCCUUUCACUUUGCUGUUUACAUGUUAUGGCUCAAAAGUAAAAUAUAAUCUAAAUAUUUAUGCAGGCAGAGUUGAAAGAUUACCCCUCUCCCAUGUUAACGUACUUGGAAUAUAAUAUGGAUUUCUGAUAGAUUGAAGUUUUAAAAUAUUAUGCAGUGCAUUAAUUUUUAAUAGUUGAUUAAUUGGGCAGAAAAUUUUCUCAGUGUUUGUAUAACUGCUAUUUUUGGAUUUACAAGAUCUAAUGGGUUAAGUGGACAUGUUUAUAUUUUUA